AUGGCCUUUGCUGGGUGGGCUGCACUGCUAAAACCUUGACUUUGGACUUGAACCUUCCAGUGCUGAAAAGAUCGUUGCUAUUUUUAUGUGACAGAGGAGAAGCCUGGCACCAAGGGCUGGUCUAAGAAAAGCUUAGGAGAUGCCUGAAGUCACCCAUCUGUGAAGGCUUUGGAGUCAGAGCUGCAAUCCACGUUAAUCAAUGGCAAAGUCAAUGCUUUGGGUGAACAUGCAAAAGCCCUUUGAGAACACACAGGAAAGCACCCAUCUAAAGCCCAGAAGAGAACCUUCUCCAGAAACAAA